rnacentral:rRNA from 1 species
UGGGGAAUAUUGGGGCAAUGGGGGAAACCCUGACCCAGCAACGCCGCGUGAAGGAAGAAGGCCUUCGGGUUGUAACAUUCUUUUAUCCAGGGAGCGAAGGACGUGACGGUACCUGGAGAAAAAGCAACGGCUAACUACGUGCCAGCAGCCGCGGUAAUACGUAGGUUGCGAGCGUUGUCCGGAUUUACUGGGUGUAAAGGGCGUGUAGGCGGAGAAGCAAGUUGGGAGUGAAAUCUAUGGGCUCAACCCAUAAACUGCUCUCAAAACUGUUUCCCUUGAGUAUCGGAGAGGCAAGCGGAAUUCCUAGUGUAGCGGUGAAAUGCGUAGAUAUUAGGAGGAACACCAGUGGCGAAGGCGGCUUGCUGGACGACAACUGACGCUGAGGCGCGAAAGCGUGGGGAGCAAACAGGAUUAGAUACC